AUGGCCGCCGAUAUCCAGCGCACGCUGGAUGAGCACUUCGCUCCCAACAAGUCCUGCAUCUCUGGCGUUGCUUCCACUUCGGCACAUGGAGAUAAGAAGGGUGGAACUCCAGAGAACGGACCAAAAACAGAGAACGAUAAGAUCUUGAAGGUUUCAUGGGAAGGGGGUGCAGAUUACUACACUGCAGCAAAGUUGGACGAGAUUUUUAAACAAUUUGGCACGGUUGAAGACAUUGUGAUCAUGUUUAGCAAAUCAAAGAGUAAGGGUUCAGCACUUGUUGUCAUGGUUUCCAAAGAGGCAGCACGAUCUGCACUGAAGAACCAUUCUGUCUACAAUGUUUUCCCAAUCCCGUUAAGUGUUGCUCCGGUCCCAGCAAAGUGA
rnacentral:rRNA from 1 species